rnacentral:rRNA from 1 species
GACGGGGGGGGCAAGUGUUCUUCGGAAUGACUGGGCGUAAAGGGCGCGUAGGCGGUGAAUCGGGUUGAAAGUGAAAGUCGCCAAAAAGUGGCGGAAUGCUCUCGAAACCAAUUCACUUGAGUGAGACAGAGGAGAGUGGAAUUUCGUGUGUAGGGGUGAAAUCCGUAAAUAUACGAAGGACCGCCAAAAGCGAAGGCAGCUCUCUGGGUCCCUACCGACGCUGGGUGCGAAAGCAUGGG